rnacentral:rRNA from 1 species
GGAAACUGGGAAACUUGAGUGCAGAAGAGGACAGUGGAACUCCAUGUGUAGCGUGAAAUGCGUAGAUAUAUGGAAGAACACCAGUGGCGAAGGCGGCUGUCUGGUCUGUAACUGACGCUGAGGCUCGAAAGUAUGAGUAGCAAACAGGAUUAGAUACCCUGGUAGUCCAUACCGUAAACGAUGAAUGCUAAGUGUUGGAGGGUUUCCGCCCUUCAGUGCUGCAGCUAACGCAUUAAGCAUUCCGCCUGGGGAGUACGGCCGCAAGGCUGAAACUCAAAGGAAUUGACGGGGGCCCGCACAAGCGGUGGAGCAUGUGGUUUAAUUCGAAGCUACGCGAAGAACCUUACCAGGUCUUGACAUACUAUGCAAAUCUAAGAGAUUAGACGUUCCCUUCGGGGACAUGGAUACAGGUGGUGCAUGGUUGUCGUCAGCUCGUGUCGUGAGAUGUUGGGUUAAGUCCCGCAACGAGCGCAACCCUUAUUAUCAGUUGCCAGCAUUAAGUUGGGCACUCUGGUGAGACUGCCGGUGACAAACCGGAGGAAGGUGGGGAUGACGUCAAAUCAUCAUGCCCCUUAUGACCUGGGCUACACACGUGCUACAAUGGAUGGUACAACGAGUUGCGAACUCGCGAGAGUAAGCUAAUCUCUUAAAGCCAUUCUCAGUUCGGAUUGUAGGCUGCAACUCGCCUACAUGAAGUCGGAAUCGCUAGUAAUCGCGGAUCAGCAUGCCGCGGUGAAUACGUUCCCGGGCCUUGUACACACCGCCCGUCACACCAUGAGAGUUUGUAACACCCAAAGUCGGUGGGGUAACCUUUUAGGAACCAGCCGCCUAAGGUGGGACAGAUGAUUAGGGUGAAGUCGUAACAAGGUAGCCGUAGGAGAACCUGCGGCUGGAUCACCUC